CCUACGGGUGGCAGCAGUGGGGAAUAUUGCACAAUGGGGGAAACCCUGAUGCAGCGACGCCGCGUGAGUGAAGAAGUAUUUCGGUAUGUAAAGCUCUAUCAGCAGGGAAGAAAAUGACGGUACCUGACUAAGAAGCCCCGGCUAACUACGUGCCAGCAGCCGCGGUAAUACGUAGGGGGCAAGCGUUAUCCGGAUUUACGGGGUGUAAAGGGAGCGUAGACGGGGCGGCAAGUCUGAAGUGAAAGGGAGGGGCUUAACCCCUGAACUGCUUUGGAAACUGGCAUGCUUGAGUGCUGGAGAGGUAAGUGGAAUUCCUAGUGUAGCGGUGAAAUGCGUAGAUAGUAGGGAGAACCCCCGUGGCGAAGGCGGCUUACUGGACCGUAACUGACGUUGAGGCUCGAAAGCGUGGGGAGCAAACAGGAUUAGAUACCCGGGUAGUC
rnacentral:rRNA from 1 species